rnacentral:rRNA from 1 species
GUUUCCUACGCGAUGCUCGUCAUCGUAGGGUUAGUCGGGUCCUAAGUCGAGUCCGAAAGGGGUAGACGAUGGCAAAUUGGUUAAUAUUCCAAUACCAACAUUAGUGUGCGAUGGAAGGACGCUUAGGGCUAAGGGGGCUAGCGGAUGGAAGUGCUAGUCUAAGGUCGUAGGAGGUUAUACAGGCAAAUCCGUAUAACAAUACUCCGAGAACUGAAAGGCUUUUUGAAGUCUUCGGAUGGAUAGAAGAACCCCUGAUGCCGUCGAGCCAAGAAAAGUUUCUAAGUUUAGCUAAUGUUGCCCGUACCGUAAACCGACACAGGUGGGUGGGAUGAGUAUUCUAAGGCGCGUGGAAGAACUCUCUUUAAGGAACUCUGCAAAAUAGCACCGUAUCUUCGGUAUAAGGUGUGGUUAGCUUUGUAUUAGGAUUUACUCCGAAAGCAAGGAAACUUACAACAAAGAGUCCCUCCCGACUGUUUACCAAAAACACAGCACUCUGCUAACUCGUAAGAGGAUGUAUAGGGUGUGACGCCUGCCCGGUGCUCGAAGGUUAAUUGAUGGGGUUAGCAUUAGCGAAGCUCUUGAUCGAAGCCCGAGUAAACGGCGGCCGUAACUAUAACGGUCCUAAGGUAGCGAAAUUCCUUGUCGGUUAAAUACCGACCUGCAUGAAUGGCGUAACGAGAUGGGAGCUGUCUCAAAGAGGGAUCCAGUGAAAUUGUAGUGGAGGUGAAAAUUCCUCCUACCCGCGGCAAGACGGAAAGACCCCGUGGACCUUUACUACAGCUUGACACUGCUACUUGGAUAAGAAUGUGCAGGAUAGGUGGGAGGCUUUGAGUAUAUGACGCCAGUUGUAUAUGAGCCAUUGUUGAGAUACCACUCUUUCUUAUUUGGGUAGCUAACCAGCUUGAGUUAUCCUCAAGUGGGACAAUGUCUGGUGGGUAGUUUGACUGGGGCGGUCGCCUCCCAAAUAAUAACGGAGGCUUACAAAGGUUGGCUCAGAACGGUUGGAAAUCGUUCGUAGAGUAUAAAGGUAUAAGCCAGCUUAACUGCAAGACAUACAAGUCAAGCAGAGACGAAAGUCGGUCUUAGUGAUCCGGUGGUUCUGUGUGGAAGGGCCAUCGCUCAAAGGAUAAAAGGUACCCCGGGGAUAACAGGCUGAUCUCCCCCAAGAGCUCACAUCGACGGGGAGGUUUGGCACCUCGAUGUCGGCUCAUCGCAUCCUGGGGCUGGAGCAGGUCCCAAGGGUAUGGCUGUUCGCCAUUUAAAGCGGUACGCGAGCUGGGUUCAGAACGUCGUGAGACAGUUCGGUCCCUAUCUGCCGUGGGCGUAAGAAGAUUGAAGAGAUUUGACCCUAGUACGAGAGGACCGGGUUGAACAAACCACUGGUGUAGCUGUUGUUCUGCCAAGAGCAUCGCAGCGUAGCUAAGUUUGGAAAGGAUAAACGCUGAAAGCAUCUAAGCGUGAAGCCAACUCUAAGAUGAAUCUUCUCUAAGCUCUCUAGAAGACUACUAGUUUGAUAGGCUGGGUGUGUAAUGGAUGAAAGUCCUUUAGCUGACCAGUACUAAUAGAGCGUUUGGCUUAUCUUUAAUAAAGCAU